rnacentral:rRNA from 1 species
GGCUUAACACAUGCAAGUCGAGCGGGGAAAGGUAGCUUGCUACCUGACCUAGCGGCGGACGGGUGAGUAAUGCUUAGGAAUCUGCCUAUUAGUGGGGGACAACAUUCCGAAAGGAAUGCUAAUACCGCAUACGCCCUACGGGGGAAAGCAGGGGAUCUUCGGACCUUGCGCUAAUAGAUGAGCCUAAGUCAGAUUAGCUAGUUGGUGGGGUAAAGGCCUACCAAGGCGACGAUCUGUAGCGGGUCUGAGAGGAUGAUCCGCCACACUGGGACUGAGACACGGCCCAGACUCCUACGGGAGGCAGCAGUGGGGAAUAUUGGACAAUGGGCGCAAGCCUGAUCCAGCCAUGCCGCGUGUGUGAAGAAGGCCUUUUGGUUGUAAAGCACUUUAAGCGAGGAGGAGGCUACCUAGAUUAAUACUCUAGGAUAGUGGACGUUACUCGCAGAAUAAGCACCGGCUAACUCUGUGCCAGCAGCCGCGGUAAUACAGAGGGUGCGAGCGUUAAUCGGAUUUACUGGGCGUAAAGCGUGCGUAGGCGGCUUUUUAAGUCGGAUGUGAAAUCCCUGAGCUUAACUUAGGAAUUGCAUUCGAUACUGGGAAGCUAGAGUAUGGGAGAGGAUGGUAGAAUUCCAGGUGUAGCGGUGAAAUGCGUAGAGAUCUGGAGGAAUACCGAUGGCGAAGGCAGCCAUCUGCCUAAUACUGAC